UUCUUUUGUUUCCUGAGGCUUCCUCUGCAGCCUGGUGAAAGCUCAUCUUACUGCGGUAGAACUCCUCUUGCUUCAGCAAGAAUUUUGGGACGAAAAUAGAACUUUAAUUGGAAAAUUAAGCUGGUGUCGUGUAGAAAUGUAGGGAGUUCAGAAGAACUGGAAGGGUUGAUGUGUCAUAAUUGGAUCGAAACUGUCAGCACAGAGAGAGCAAGUGCAGAAACUGAGGGAGCUGCUUUGAGCAAAACCAAGACAGUUGAAAUCUCUUCCAUAAAGGGUGGACAGAGGCUGCACAAACAGAUAAUGAUUUUCUGAAGCUGGACAGCACUACAACAGCCUGAUGAAUCCAUCAACUGCUAAUGAGUUUUCUGCAAACUAAGUAUUUUCUGUCCUCGUGGCAUUUUCCCUGCUUCAUCAGAACUCCUGAAAGAACUCCAGCAACCUAAAUUUCAACUCUCAUCAGCCACAGCUUCCCCAAGGGUUUGACAAGCCCAGAACAUGUUUCAUAGAGCUCAUAACUUGUCCAAAGGCGUGGUGCAGCACAGGGCUUUAGAAUUCUGCAGCGAAGCGCCCCUUUGGGAAAUGAUGUGUCUUAAAUGCAGCCUCAAUGCAGAAUGAUGCUCUUUUCACUGUACAAAAAUGAACGAAUGAAAUGCUCGUUUAGGAUACUGACUUUCACCUAAAAACCAACUCGCUGAGCUACAAUGAAUGAAACUAAUUCUAGAAGUCACAAAAAUAAUCAGCUCGCUUCUACCUAAUUGUACAUGAAUAUUUACAAUUCUGAAGAAAAGUUUCCAGCCACAAGCUUGUGUAUGUGCAUUUUAGGGACUAGAAUGAAGCCAGCUGAAGGACUGAAUGCUUUCUCCUCCCAGACGGGAUCUAUCAUCAUGGCUUUAACACAGAAAAAUACAAUUUAUACUAAAUACCAGCAUGUAUUGGGUGUGAGAUGUACUUUGGUUUCAAGAACACAGGGUGAAACUGCUCAACGCCGUCACACAAACUUCACUCUGACACAGCUGGAACCACAGAAACCUUCGAGAAGUGACAGUUUUCAUAUCGGGCUAAAGCAGGAACGUGGUCAGACCUCAACCACUGGAAAGAAAUUACUGAAAAAUAUCUGUUCUGGGUGGCCAACUCUGGACUUAACUCCUAGCAUGGUUCUCAGAAUGCAAAAGACAAAGUUUCCUCUUCAUGAGGAUAGAAAAGUUUAAAAGGUAAAGAACAUUUCAUGUUUCCAAGAUGCUAACAGAACAAAGGAU